CGCUGUGUUCACCAUCCUGGCCUCCAUCUACUUCUUCAACAAGGCUCAGCGAUGAGAAGAAACGGGACAGCUUAACCCAAGAGCCCCGCCUCUGGCCCACCAUGACUGUGGCCUCUGAGACCAAAUAAAUGUGACUCAAUCAGCA